GGCUCCGUAGCUUAGAGAAUAGAGCACCCCUCUAGUGAAUUGGGAGUCGUGGGUUCGAUUCCCACCGGAGCAC
rnacentral:tRNA from 1 species